AUUGAACGCUGGCGGCAUGCCUUACACAUGCAAGUCGAACGGUAACAGGUCUUCGGAUGCUGACGAGUGGCGAACGGGUGAGUAAUACAUCGGAACGUGCCUAGUAGUGGGGGAUAACUACUCGAAAGAGUGGCUAAUACCGCAUGAGAUCUACGGAUGAAAGCAGGGGAUCGCAAGACAUUGUGCUACUAAAGCUGCCGAUGGCAGAUUAGGUAGUUGGUGGGAUAAAAGCUUACCAAGCCGACGAUCUGUAGCUGGUCUGAGAGGACGAUCAGCCACACUGGGACUGAGACACGGCCCAGACUCCUACGGGAGGCAGCAGUGGGGAAUUUUGGACAAUGGGCGAAAGCCUGAUCCAGCAAUGCCGCGUGCAGGAUGAAGGCCUUCGGGUUGUAAACUGCUUUUGUACGGAACGAAAAGCCCUGGGUUAAUACCCUGGGGUCAUGACGGUACCGUAAGAAUAAGCACCGGCUAACUACGUGCCAGCAGCCGCCGUAACAC
rnacentral:rRNA from 1 species